GUGCCAGCAGCCGCGGUAAGACGAACCGUGCGAACGUUGUUCGGAAUCACUGGGCUUAAAGGGCGCGUAGGCGGGCUGUAAAGUCAGUGGUGAAAUCCUUCAGCUCAACUGGAGAAGUGCCGCUGAUACUGACAGUCUCGAGGGAGGUAGGGGUCGAUGGAACUAAUGGUGGAGCGGUGAAAUGCGUAGAUAUCAUUAGGAACGCCGGUGGCGAAAGCGAUCGACUGGACCUCUUCUGACGCUGAGGCGCGAAAGCUAGGGGAGCAAACGGGAUUAGAAACCCCCGUAGUCC
rnacentral:rRNA from 1 species